GGGGGAUUUCUGAUGUAAGGUGACCUCAAGAAAGGAGUCAACUAGGACAGGGGUUAGAUGAGGAGAGGAAAUAGCCCACGUAGGGAACUAGGCCAGGAAAGAAGACUUGUUUAUCCCCAUGUUUAUCCCCAUGUAAGGAAUUAGGUGAGAGAGGAAGCUGUUUGGGUCCCAUGCUCGAUAAUGAGGAGAAGAGUGAGCUGGGAGAGUCACUCUCCCCCUCCCGUUAGAAUGUUCUUUUCAGAGAAGGAGUCAGGUCGGGAUGACCUGAUAGGGAAAUGUUGCUCGAGUGAGACCACGGGUUGUGCAAGAGGGACCACGGGUUGUGUAAGGACAGCCAAUUGAGGGAGGACAUCUGUUUAUCUUGAACAAACUGUGUGUUGUCUGAUAAUGGCCAAACAUAUUUGUGUGACGUAAUAAGACUGUAUAAAAGCUCUAGUCUGUCAAUGCAUGGUAGACUUCCCUGGCUAGAGAAGUUCUGCGCGUGAUUUCCAAUCUGCCUGGCAACAAUAAAGACAAAGACCUUUGCAAUCAAUCUCCUGACUCCAAGCCUGUUAAUUCUUGCUUCACUAAGAACCACUUUCGAGACCCCAACAAUUGGUGACUACCGACGUGAUUCGCUACAUCUACAUUUGAGAAGAUCUGCCUGUUCCAUCCCAAACGCAUCAUGAGUGUGCCAAAGAGACCGGUAGAGGGAGGAGCCAGAGCUGUCCUGUCGCCUGACCAGACCGUGCCAGCUGCUCCUCUGCGCGUGACCGCCCAGGAGGUGCUCAGCCUCAAAUUCCCUCUUCUCCGAGAACGCCUCGUCGAGAUGAACAGGAAAUGGGCCAAGCGCACUGCCAAGAUGACAACAGUCUGGCCAGAGCACGGGACUUUCGAUCUAAGCCUCUGCGACGACAUGAGGGUCCUGAUCGCCAACCACAGCCAUUCUGGUUCGGCCAAGAAAAAACUCAAAAAACGCAAUGAGGAAGCUGAGUGUCUGAAGCUGUAUGAAGAACAAGGACAGAACUAUCGUGAUACGGCUAAGGCUUGCUUGCUCGCAGCCAAGACCGAUCAUGAGACUCUAGAGAGGGCCUCCCCUCCCCCAUACGCUAAAGAGAAGAGCGGCUCUGCCCCACCCAGAAAGUCAGGGAAGGCUAGUCUGUAUCAAGGAGCCUCCUGUAUACCAUCAAGCACCCAUCCUGGUCAGGGGAACUCAGUUGAAUUAUGUGCCCUGGACAACAAUGGACAUGACUGGUUUAAUUGCUCGGCUCCCCAAUCCAUAUGAGGGAGCGAGUAGGUGGAUUAAGGCGUUCGAGCAAGAGACACUAGGCCACAACAUAGCUAUCGGAGACAUCAAAAUGAUCCUGGGGCGCACCCUGGGGGCUGGAGGCUUGAGUGACGUCAUGCAUUCUCAGCAUCUGGCCGAGAUCCUAGACACUCAUGCGGGGGACGGAGACCUUUUCAAUGCAAUCCGCACAGAAGUCUGGGAAAGCCUGAGAACCCUCUUUCCGGAUCGGGUGAGGCUGGACAUGCUCACUGGGGAGACAAUUGAGUUAUCUGAGCCACCAAUGGCAUUUAUUCACAAAACUUUGGGGAAAUGGAGAGCUGAACUAGGGAAAAAUCCAGAAGACGAGGUCCUGCAACAAGCAAUGUUUCGACAAGGGGUCGUCCGAGGCCUGACAGAGACUGUUCAGGGGCGGUUGGCAGAUGUAGUGGGUCUCUAUUCCAUGCCUUUUGCCCAGUUUUGCGAACACAUCACCCAUGCCGUGUUAAAAGAAAGGAACAAUGAAAACAAAAGGCUGCAGAGUGACCGAGAGAAUGCGCGGAAGCUGAACAAACUCCAACUCAGGUCCGGCCUACAAGCAGGACUCGUCGCUCCCCCUGCUGCCUACAGUCAAAACAGACAGUGGGGGAGCGAGUCAGAAGGGCUGGCGCUGGGCCUAGUUUCCCAGUAGCCGUGGCCCUUCGAGAGAUGACGUAAGAAGCAGGAGUCACCUCUCUACAGGCCAAACUGAAAGGGACUGAGGGGGGGAGAAAGCAUUAACGGAUAUCAAACUGAGUCUACAACAGGCACCAGCUCUGGCCCUUCCGAACUACGAGAAACCCAUCUUCCUGUAUGUAUCCAAUCAUAAUUUACACACACCACAUAAUUGCGAAUCUUGUUGAACAGGGUAAAUUUCGGUUGACAGAGGCACGAAAUUAGGAGAUUUAAAGAAGAGGUAAAAAUAUUAUGAAAUAUGUGAAGGAGUAUGAAGAAUUUGGGUUGUCACUGACUAACAUAUUUUUUCUAUCCCUUAGGAAUUGCAUAGAUAUGAACUGUGCGAUGGGGGGAAGGGGGAUAGGAAAAAUUUGGACUAUGGUCUCAGAGACAGAGGCAAUUUUAAAUUGAUAAUUUAGUUGAUAAACAAGUAAAGCACACCCUAAGUAGUAACAUUUAUAAUUUUGAUAGUCUAACCUUAGACUAUGGUGAAGUUUUGUUAAAGAUGUUUUGUAGGAACUAGGGGAGGAGAAGGAGGAGAGGACGAGCCUCGGAGAAACCAAUCAGCAUCCAGCCUGGUGGUCGAGUCUCCAGUAAAGGCGACCGGGGGAAAAGUCAACACCCCGUGUAGAGACACUGCCUGAACACAGGGUCACGAGCAACGAUGACCACAACACAGUUUGAAGGGUCAACCAUGUGGUCCAUCUGGAAGCACCGUUAUAAAUCCCACAUCAAACUUGGUCACACCUAUAACAACUAUUGACUCUGAUUUCCCUGAUACAGUACAGGACAGUGCUCUCCUAAAGGCAAAGCACACGAAUGACGUUGGUUAACUCUCAGCCUCCAACUGGGCCUGAGACUGAGGAUUGAGAGCUUCCUGCUCGUGCCUCAGAAGUCAAGGGUGUGCCUAAGAUCAAGGACCAAAUCCAGGGCUCGAAGUUACCAAGCCACCCUGGACAACGGCGAACAGUCACUCAACCCCUGCUCCCUGUUGAGGGAUCAGAAAAUGAAACUCAGCCGCCGAAUAACAACAAACCCUUCCUGGUUGCGUUCCAACUGGGAAGAAGGGGGGUGAGUGAAACGGGGACACAUGAGGUGGAUGCAACAGCAAUAUUGUCAUUGGAAAUGUGAAACUAGAGUAAUUGUUGACAAAUGCCUAGGUGGUUUAGGUUAAUAGAACCAGGGUUUAUUGAUGACAUUAACGAUGUUUGUUGGCUCUGAGUUAACACCUCCCAGAGUCCACUGCCCGUGCAUGGAGAACAACUGGCGAGUAGCAGAGGAAAAUAGGGUUUGGUGAUGUAUGCCUACAUCACAUCCACAUUGUUUCUGAUGGAGUUUCACAAAAGCUAUGACUAAACUAAACAUCCUAAGCUUGAAGCUGUUAUGACUGUAUAUCCAUCUCUCUGUCCCGGUUUCUAUAAAACUCACCUCCAUUAUGAUGACAGAGUCAAUAGGACUCUCCCCUGAACGCAGAAGUAUCCUGUUCCUGGACUGUGUCUAAUUCCAGGAGAGGGUAAAACCAGAUCCAGAUCCAGGGGUCGAGCCAGGGAAGGUUCACCAAAGAGGGCCAGCACCAGAGACCAUCGACCUCCAACAACCCCACUUGUGCAGCUGCUAAAAGACGUGCAGCUGAGCGAGCAGGGGACGAUCCUGGCAGACCCCAUAGACCCCACACCCACACAGCAGAAUCCCCUUCCCGAGCAAACUGCUCGGUGAGGUAGAGGUAAGUGGGCUGACACGAGAUGUUUUAGGACAAGGGGGGAGCAAAGCAGAGUUCAUUGCAAUAUGAAUACCACAUGCCGUCACCUAGGUGAUCCACUUCAAGCUAAACCAAACCACAGAAAACCUCGAGGAGGCUCCUCGCAAGAGGCGGGCCUUCAAGUCUGAUGUAACGAUUGAUGCCAUAGGUCAGCCAAGGGGGGUGCCCAAUGACUUUAAAGCAAGAAAUGAGGUGGCGUCAGGGUUUGAGUCCAUCUUGCCCUGGAUAACGGUAAAUAAGAACACUGAAUGGAUUAAUUAUCUGUACUAUAAUCAGCAGCGCUUCAUUAACUAUACAGACGAGGCUCUCACCGCCCUGGGCCAGCAGCUGUCUUCAACAUCAGCAAUGACCUGGCAGAACCGACAGGUAUUGGACUGGCUGCUGGCGGAGCGUUUGCACUCUGAUUGGUCAGGUAUGUUGCACAUUCAUACCAAACAACACUGCCCCUACAGGAAGAUUUGCACAAGCUAUGACUGACUUAAAGGCACUGAGACAGGAGGUGAAGGAUAAUGCAGGACACAAGACUGAAUGGUUUGAACUGAUGAGGGAGAGCUUGGGAGAUUGGGGGUUUAGCUGGGUAAGAAUAGGGAUUGCAGUGCUGCUGACCUUAUUGGCCAUUGUAUUGAUUCUCUGCUGUUGCAUACCCAUCUUCCGGUCUCGUGUCAAAACCCACUAUGCCUGCCCCAUUGUAGCUAAGAUGAAGGAGUUGGAUGACUCACAUGCUUUUUCUCUGUUUAAGAGCAAGCCUUCUGCCCCGGACUUGUACCCUGUCCAGGUGGCGGAGGGACAAAGUGGCUGAAUGAUGUCCCAAACCAGGCCACACCGAGCGAUGCCAAAUCAGUCGAGCCGCUUCGGGGCCGUGGAACAUCGCUCAAUGAGUAUACCAAGCACAUAAUUUUGUUUGUUUUAUGAGUUUAAUUUUUGUUUUAUUAAUUGAGUGGUGUAUAUGUAACUCAGUGAUUUGUGCAUUAAUCAGUGUAGGUUUGUGGAGGACUGCCCUCCCAAACCCAUUUCUGUUGAAUCAUCCAUGGUUUCUCCCCCCUUAAAAGAGCGAGGCCUAAAAAGCCGGGGGGAGUUUUACUCCAGGAUCUGAUGAUACAGAGGAGCAAAGGCAAUUCUGAACAGAUAUUUGAGUACUGCAUAUGUUGUUGUAAACUUUAUGUGUAGACUUGAUGUUUGAUCAUAUACCAUCGUGUUUUUGUGAAACUGUGUUUGAGGGUCUGGGGGUAUUUACCUAGCCAAAGGAAGGUUAUAUACUCACACAUAUUGCAGGCUUACAACCAUAUGAGUAGACUGAGCCAAGGUUUCCCUCAGACUGGGGACCUUGUUUACACAACAUGAAUUUGGACAGUUUCAUUACAGGCAAACACUAGCUUACUAUUCUACCAUAUACUCGCCUAUUACUCAAAAGAAUUAAGGAAAAUUGGGUCUGAGGAGUUUUGUUUUUUUCAAUGUUUAAAUGUUUUACAGGCUACACAGAAAGAUAGAUUAUGGGAGGAGUAGUGUGGGCAAAAUGCCCACAAAGGGGGGAGUGUCGGGGGAUUUCUGAUGUAAGGUGACCUCAAGAAAGGAGUCAACUAGGACAGGGGUUAGAUGAGGAGAGGAAAUAGCCCACGUAGGGAACUAGGCCAGGAAAGAAGACUUGUUUAUCCCCAUGUUUAUCCCCAUGUAAGGAAUUAGGUGAGAGAGGAAGCUGUUUGGGUCCCAUGCUCGAUAAUGAGGAGAAGAGUGAGCUGGGAGAGUCACUCUCCCCCUCCCGUUAGAAUGUUCUUUUCAGAGAAGGAGUCAGGUCGGGAUGACCUGAUAGGGAAAUGUUGCUCGAGUGAGACCACGGGUUGUGCAAGAGGGACCACGGGUUGUGUAAGGACAGCCAAUUGAGGGAGGACAUCUGUUUAUCUUGAACAAACUGUGUGUUGUCUGAUAAUGGCCAAACAUAUUUGUGUGACGUAAUAAGACUGUAUAAAAGCUCUAGUCUGUCAAUGCAUGGUAGACUUCCCUGGCUAGAGAAGUUCUGCGCGUGAUUUCCAAUCUGCCUGGCAACAAUAAAGACAAAGACCUUUGCAAUCAA